rnacentral:rRNA from 1 species
CGCGUAGGUGGUUCAGCAAGUUGGAUGUGAAAGCCCCGGGCUCAACCUGGGAACUGCAUCCAAAACUACUGAGCUAGAGUACGGUAGAGGGUGGUGGAAUUUCCUGUGUAGCGGUGAAAUGCGUAGAUAUAGGAAGGAACACCAGUGGCGAAGGCGACCACCUGGACUGAUACUGACACUGAGGUGCGAAAGCGUGGGGAGCAAACAG